AGCAGCCGCGGUAAUUCCAGCUCCAAUAGCGUAUAUUAAAGUUGUUGCAGUUAAAAAGCUCGUAGUUGAACCUUAGGCCCGUGCGGGCGGUCCGUCCUCUGGGCGAGCACUGCCUCGUCGCGGGUCUCACCUUCUGGCGAGCGGGGAUGCCUUUCAUUAGGUGUCGUCGGGAACCAGGACCUUUACCUUGAAAAAAUUAGAGUGCUCAAAGCGGGCUCUUACGCUUGAAUACAUUAGCAUGGAAUAAUGAAAUAGGACGACAGUUCUAUUUUGUUGGU
rnacentral:rRNA from 1 species